rnacentral:rRNA from 1 species
AUUGAACGCUGGCGGCAUGCCUUACACAUGCAAGUCGAACGGCAGCACGGGAGCAAUCCUGGUGGCGAGUGGCGAACGGGUGAGUAAUAUAUCGGAACGUGCCCAGUAGUGGGGGAUAGCCCGGCGAAAGCCGGAUUAAUACCGCAUGAGACCUGAGGGUGAAAGCGGGGGAUCGCAAGACCUCGCGCUAUUGGAGCGGCCGAUAUCAGAUUAGCUAGUUGGUGGGGUAAAGGCCUACCAAGGCAACGAUCUGUAGUUGGUCUGAGAGGACGACCCGCCACACUGGGACUGAGACACGGCCCAGACUCCUACGGGAGGCAGCAGUGGGGAAUUUUGGACAAUGGGCGCAAGCCUGAUCCAGCAAUGCCGCGUGCAGGAAGAAGGCCUUCGGGUUGUAAACUGCUUUUGUCAGGGAAGAAAUCCCUUGGGAUAAUACCUCGGGGGGAUGACGGUACCUGAAGAAUAAGCACCGGCUAACUACGUGCCAGCCGCCGCAGUAAAAC